GAUGAACGCUGGCGGCGUGCCUAAUACAUGCAAGUCGAGCGAACAGAUAAGGAGCUUGCUCCUUUGACGUUAGCGGCGGACGGGUGAGUAACACGUGGGUAACCUACCUAUAAGACUGGGAUAACUUCGGGAAACCGGAGCUAAUACCGGAUAAUAUUUCGAACCGCAUGGUUCGAUAGUGAAAGAUGGUUUUGCUAUCACUUAUAGAUGGACCCGCGCCGUAUUAGCUAGUUGGUAAGGUAACGGCUUACCAAGGCGACGAUACGUAGCCGACCUGAGAGGGUGAUCGGCCACACUGGAACUGAGACACGGUCCAGACUCCUACGGGAGGCGGCAGUAGGGAAUCUUCCGCAAUGGGCGAAAGCCUGACGGAGCAACGCCGCGUGAGUGAUGAAGGUCUUCGGAUCGUAAAACUCUGUUAUUAGGGAAGAACAUACGUGUAAGUAACUGUGCACGUCUUGACGGUACCUAAUCAGAAAGCCACGGCUAACUACGUG
rnacentral:rRNA from 1 species